AAAUUAUGGAAUAUAAUGGACAAAUAUAUUUUACGUAGGUUUUUUCUUUGUGUAGGGUGCACAUUACCAAUUUCCGUCACGGGAGCAAUCAUGCACGGCACGUGCACCGACGCAAUUGGUGGUGGAGUCCACAAGGAAGGAGCACACCACCACUCUGUUCCACAUAGAUCCAUGCCUUGUCGCAACUUCGUGUACCUUUCAUAAUAUACAUCUUGAAUUUGAGUUUACCACACUCCUCC
rnacentral:lncRNA from 1 species